GAUGAACGCUGGCGGCGUGCCUAAUACAUGCAAGUCGAGCGAACAGACGAGGAGCUUGCUCCUCUGACGUUAGCGGCGGACGGGUGAGUAACACGUGGAUAACCUACCUAUAAGACUGGGAUAACUUCGGGAAACCGGAGCUAAUACCGGAUAAUAUAUUGAACCGCAUGGUUCAAUAGUGAAAGACGGUUUUGCUGUCACUUAUAGAUGGAUCCGCGCCGCAUUAGCUAGUUGGUAAGGUAACGGCUUACCAAGGCAACGAUGCGUAGCCGACCUGAGAGGGUGAUCGGCCACACUGGAACGGAGACACGGUCCAGCCUCCUACGGGAGGCAGCAGUAGGGAAUCUUCCGCAAUGGGCGAAAGCCUGACGGAGCAACGCCGCGUGAGUGAUGAAGGUCUUCGGAUCGUAAAACUCUGUUAUUAGGGAAGAACAAAUGUGUAAGUAACUAUGCACGUCUUGACGGUACCUAAUCAGAAAGCCACGGCUAACUACGUG
rnacentral:rRNA from 1 species